rnacentral:misc_RNA from 1 species
CGAACGCGCGGUUGGCGAGAAUAUAUCUGCCAUCCUCGAUGCUUUUGGCCGCGACACAGACCGGAAUGUUGUCGAUGACCGAUUCAAGGAAGUGCGUGGUGNNNNNNNGCAAGCUGCCGGGACAUUUUGCGCUGUGCGGUGCAAUCCUCGUGCGUCGACACCGUUCCGCCGUUGGCCAGCUUUCGAUGCUUGAUCAGGAUCGAGCGGCUAU